AUUCCAGCUCCAGUAGCGUAUAUUAAAGUUGUUGCAGUUAAAAAGCUCGUAGUUGGAUUUCUGAUAGUAGCGUUGGGCCCGCCCGGGUUACCGGUGUGAGUGCCUGUUCGCUCCUUUCAUCCUUCUAGAGAACGGUUCUCUCCUUCAUUGGCAGUGGGAUCGCAAUCUAGAUCUUUUACUUUGAAAAAAUUAGAGUGUUUAAAGCAGGCUUGUGCUAUGAAUACAUUAGCAUGGAAUAAUAAUUUAGGACUUUAGUUCUAUUUUGUUGGUUUCUAGAACUGAAGUAAUGAUUGAUAGGGAUAGCUGGGGGUGCUAGUAUUCAGCGGCCAGAGGUGAAAUUCUUGGAUUCGCUGAAGACUAACUUAUGCGAAAGCAUUCACCAAGGAUGUCUUCAUCA
rnacentral:rRNA from 1 species